AAAAAGAGAUACACAAGCUCGGGUCCAUUUACUAUUAACCUAUGCUUUCUCAGUGGCUAAUAAGGUCAUCUUUGAUUUGGUUUGAAGCCCUUCCAGCCGUUCCAGUCCACAGAGAAAGUCCCGGACAGAGUUGGUGUGUGUGGGGAUGGAAAGGUGCAGCCUCAGCACGGAGAGGAGUGUGAUGAUGGAAACCAGAUCAUCACUGAUGCUUGUCUCAACUGUAAGUGGGCCUACUGUGGAGACGGAUACCGACAUGAAGGCAUGGAGGAGUGUGAUGGAAAGGACUUUGGUUAUCAGACCUGUAAAUCCUAUCUUCCUGGGUCCUUUGGGCAGCUCAGAUGCACAGACUCUUGCCUCAUUGAUUCCACUGGUUGCAAGUACUUCACCUGAACUGAAAAGUG